rnacentral:lncRNA from 1 species
UCAUGGGUUGAUGUUACAUUUAAUUCAGAUAAUAAUAAUCUACGGUCACAUCCAGAUGAUGAUGAGAUCGGCCUUCUGAUGAGAUCGGCCUUCUGAUGAUUGUCGGCCUUCUGAUGAUUGUCGACCUUCUGAUGAGCUCAGUCUCUCGAUGAGGUUGGCUUUUUGAUGACCUCGAUCUUCUGAUGAGGUCAGCUUAGCGACGAGGAUCUACCCCAAUAGAAAGAAAUUCUAGUUUUAUAUAAAUAAAUCAGAUUCAUCAUAAAAAAAAUACAAAGUAUAGCACAGAAAAAUAAAGAUAUAUUUAC